UACGUAGGGUGCAAGCGUUGUCCGGAAUUAUUGGGCGUAAAGAGCUCGUAGGCGGUUUGUCGCGUCUGCUGUGAAAACUCGGGGCUUAACCCCCGGGCCUGCAGUGGGUACGGGCAGACUAGAGUGCGGUAGGGGGAGACUGGAAUUCCUGGUGUAGCGGUGAAAUGCGCAGAUAUCAGGAGGAACACCGGUGGCGAAGGCGGGUCUCUGGGCCGUAACUGACGCUGAGGAGCGAAAGCGUGGGGAGCGAACAGG
rnacentral:rRNA from 1 species